rnacentral:rRNA from 1 species
GAGCGGCGGACGGGUGAGUAACGCGUGGGCAACCUACCUUACACAGGGGGAUAACACCGGGAAACUGGUGCUAAUACCGUAUGAAAUCAAACUACGGCAUCGUAGAAUGAUUAAAGGAGUAAUCCGGUGUAAGAUGGGCCCGCGUCCGAUUAGCUAGUUGGUGGGGUAAUGGCCUACCAAGACUAUGACGCGUAUCUGGUUUGAGAGGAUGAUCAGACACACUGGAACUGAGACACGGUCCAGACUCC